rnacentral:rRNA from 1 species
UAUGUGAUCGUCUCUCGCAUAUCAAUAAGCGGAGGAAAAGAAACUAACAAGGAUUCCCCUAGUAACGGCGAGUGAAGCGGGAAGAGCUCAAAUUUGAAAUCUUAAAGGGUUUCCCUUUACGAAUUGUAGUUUAAAGAAGUGUUUUCUGUUGAGGUUUUGGUAAAAGUUCUUUGGAAUAGGACAUCAUAGAGGGUGAGAAUCCCGUAUUUGACCUCUACUUUCAACUUUGUGAUACACUUUCAAAGAGUCGGAUUGUUUGGGAAUGCAGUCCAAAAUGGGUGGUAAAUUUCAUCUAAAGCUAAAUAUUGGCGAGAGACCGAUAGCGAACAAGUACCGUGAGGGAAAGAUGAAAAGAACUUUGAAAAGAGAGUUAAACAGUACGUGAAAUUGUCAAAAGGGAAGCGUUUGACACCAGUGUUGUUUUUCUGAAAAUCAAUUAAAGAACUGUUUAUGCUAAGCUGUUUAGACUUUAUCAGCUAACUGUUUAGUUUUGAGCUUUUCUUUAAUGCACUUUUCAGUUAACAAGUCAACAUCAAUUUCUUUUGCUGUAAAAAAGCUUGAGGAAGGUGGCUUGAGAUUCGUCUUAAGUGUUUAUAGCCUCUUGCCUAUGCAGUCGGAGAGAUUGAGGUCUGCAGCGUAGAUCCUUCGGGGCUAAAUGCAUUUGUGCUAAGUUAUAACAUUUUAUAGACAACUUGUUGACUAUGAUUUGUCUUGUAGCUUACUCGCUUAUGUUAUUUUACCUACGCUUAGGAUGUUGAUAUCGCGCUCUCACUG